GUAGGGAAUAUUGGGCAAUGGUCGGAAGACUGACCCAGCCAUGCCGCGUGCAGGAAGACGGCCCUCUGGGUUGUAAACUGCUUUUAUCUGGGAAGAAAAAGGCCAUGCGUGGCAAAUUGCCGGUACCAGAUGAAUAAGCACCGGCUAACUCCGUGCCAGCAGCCGCGGUAAUACGGAGGGUGCGAGCGUUGUCCGGAUUUAUUGGGUUUAAAGGGUGCGUAGGCGGCUGAUUAAGUCAGCGGUGAAAGACUUCGGCUUAACCGGAGCAGUGACGUUGAUACUGGUUGGCUUGAGUGUCGGAGGGGUACAUGGAAUUGAUGGUGUAGCGGUGAAAUGCAUAGAUACCAUCAGGAACACCGAUAGCGAAGGCAUUGUACUGGUCGACAACUGACGCUGAUGCACGAAAGUGUGGGGAUCGAACAGGAUUAGAAACCCUGGUAGUCC
rnacentral:rRNA from 1 species